AAGCCUUAGCUUUGGACUCAAAAAGAUCACUGGUUCAAUCCUCAUCAAGCCUUUUUCUUUCCCAUAAACUAACAAUGGCUAAUACCCACGGCGACAACAAGGUGUUGAAAGAGUAGUGACUAAUGUUGAGUGAUGGUGAGGGGGGGUGACAUUGUAUCCAACUUCCAGAGCCCCGUGUCGGUGUCUGCCACCCCAUGGCACCACUUUAACCCCUUGAAUUCUUUGCAUUCCUCCAGUCGCGGGCCACAAAACUCACUGCGGCCAUUUAAACCCACCAAGGUUUUUUUUUGCUACCAUUAAGGACAACCAGGCAAUUGACCCCCUGACCCUUUACAAGCGACCUGUUGGAGCAGCUUUCAAGUGUAUACUUAAAUCUUCAUGGGAAUGGUCCCGCUGAUCCAGGAUCAGGUCCCCCAAGCAAUCAACACCUAGAGGAAUGUUGCUGAUGGUCAGCACAAAGCGACCAUGAUUCACUGCCAACAAUGAUGUGACGCUGAAAGCGGACAGUUGUUGGCCUGAUCAUGUCAUAGCAGAUUUCCUCCUUCUCUUGGAUCCAGACACUAGACCGGCUCAGCAGAACUGGACAGGUUUUGAGUUUCCCCCAGAGGACCGAGGAUUUCACAAUCAAUGAACACUUUGCUGAUUUUUAUUGGCUUUAAAGUUCCUUUACACCUUUGUGUUACAUAAUUCUUGCUAACGUUUUGAAGGUUGGUAUAGUGAUCAAAGGAUGCCAUAAUUAAAAUGGCCUUAAAUGGUAAUCAGAAUUUCAUGCUUUUUAAUACAUUAGUAUGAUAUGGUAGCAAUAGUCAUCUGUUUCUCUUGAGUUUUUUGUCUUUAUGAUCCACGUUAACAAAAACUUUAGUCCUAAACUGUUUUUCUCCAACUUUCUAUUUUAACAAAAAGCAAACCUUUACUUAAGGUCGGUCUAAUAGCAAAUGGAGCAAACCUUUACAAAAUAUUCAAAGCGGGUCACUAACAAUAUAAGAAAACAUAUCUUUUCUUGAGGCAUAUAUGAUAAAAAUAUUGUAUUCACAAACAUUUAGGCCUUUAAAUUAAAAUUAUGGACCUAAACUACAUGAUAUGCAAACGUUAACACUUUACGACAGUAAAUGCCUUAGCUAGCAUAAACUAACAAUAAACGUUUAGUUUUUCAGCAAGUGUUAGGCUAAUAUUAAUGCCAGUUUUUUAGUUCAUUGUACAUCAUCUAAUGUUAAGAAGUAUGCCUAUGUAUUAGUAGAUGUUGAAAUGAUCAUAAAGUAAAAUGCUUUAGAAGUACUGUAUUGUUCAUUGUUAGUACGUGUUAGCUAACGCAGUAUGUUAACAAAUACAACUUUAUUGUAAAGUGUUACGCAAAUGUAUCCCAAAAUGCAAACUGCUUGACUUUUUGUUGCCAUGAUGGCUUUUUACAAAUGCAUUUUGACUUUUAGUUAUAUAUUUACCCACAGCCAAUAGUUAGGCCAUAUUUUUAUAUUUGGGAUUUAACUUUUAUCACACUGUUAAAGGUAAAAGUUGGAUCAACCAGCCUGAUCGUUAUACACUCAAAAAAUGUAAUGUUGGGUUUAAUUAAAAAUAUUAUGUCAACAGGUUCCACACAAUUUGUUUAAGUAAUCUCAACAAACAAUCAUUUAGAAAAGAAGUUUAAGUAAACUUAACAAACCUUAGUAGAGUCAACAAAUAAAAAUUGAGUUAAAUGUACAUGAAAAAAUGAAUCAAUGAUGACACAAAAUUUGAAUAAUGCCACAUUAAAAACGCCAACCCUUUUAAUUAAAAUUUAAGUCCACUUCUUUUUUUAUAACAGUUUAUCAAACAUAUCACAAACAUAUUUGAAAUGCAAUGUAACAUUCCAAACCGUUUGUUUGUUUUGUUCUAAAAUAUAUAAGAACAAGUUCACCGACUCAUAUUUGGCCACUUAUAACCCACGUACCUAUCUAAUGGUGCUACACUUCUGCAAGAGGGUGCCAGAACAACAAUUACGCAUAAUACACGGCAAAAUCCUCAGCCAAUGAGGUGCAAGUCUGUAUUGGUUUUAUUAAUCUGUUACUUUUAUGCAACAAUGUUAUGUUGGCUGAGCAAAUAAUUUUUAAGUAAAGCUGACAAGACACAUUUUUUGUUGAAUUAACUAGAUUUAAUUAAGUUCACUUUGUUAAAUAGAUUUUUUUAAGUUGCACAACAUGAAAAAAUUAAGAAUUAAGUAAAAUUGACAAACGUAAAAUUUCUUUUUUUUAAGUGUAGUUGUGUGUAGGUCCUACAGCGUAGCCACUAUUCGUUCCGUGUCGGUUUUCAUUUAUACUUUUGCGUCGUCGUUCACUUCGACGUGCAAACACACAGACCACUGGUAGGCAGUUUCCACUAGUGUAACCACAGUAGCAGCGCAACCGUUAAUGAAGAAGCAACCCACAAACAAAGAAGAAAUACCAACUUGUUGUGUAUGUUUUGAGAAGACCAGCAGUGAUGGAAAUAAAUAAACAGCGACUUUUGUUGCAGUUUGAGUUAGAUCACUCCUCAACUUGGUCCAUCUUUGUUCAACCGUUGCAAACGGAAAUACCUACUACGCAGUUUUUUUACCUGAUGGGAGGGGUUCUAGUGGACUAAUCACAGUGCUUGCAGUCUAAAAAUUUGGCGAGGUAACCUAUGGCUUAGCUACGGCGUGGACCCUAAUGGAACAUUCACAUUGUAAGCGACUAGCAGUAGCAGAGCGACGUGAUCUCACUGAUUUCAGUGGAAGCUCGGCGGUAUCCGGCAACACUAGCGACAAUUACCGUUGACGGCUGGAUGGGGCAUGUCCAGUCAUGGGACAAAGUUGAGAAAUGUUUAACUUUAUGCAAAUUAUGAGCGACAUUCGGGAGCGACUACCAAUGAGAAUGAAGCAGUGGAGUUUACGUCAUCCUUCUAGUCAGUUACUGGAGUGGAGGUUGCUCAUUUAUUUAUGACAACCAGAUUUAGAAAUGCCUCUUUUGAAAGAGACUAGCGACAAAGUCGUUUAUACUGUGAAUGUACCUUUACGUACGACUAUAAAUUGGACUUAAGGCCUACAGUGAGACAAUUUAAGUUUAUAAAACUUUUUUUAUAUUUUAACAAUUAAAGUAAGUUUUUUUUAAGUAGAGCAGCUUUCACUUUUUACACUAUAUGACAACUAGCCUUAACUCCCAUGCAAUGUAAUGAGGUCAUGUGAUCAAUAAUAGCACUACUCUUUGUAGUAGGGAAGUAUGCGGCAUAGUGUUCAAUAAGUCUGUAUUCC